rnacentral:rRNA from 1 species
UACGAAGGGGGCGAGCGUUUGUUCGGAAUUACUGGGCGUAAAGGGCGCGUAGGCGGCGACCCAAGUCAGAUGUGAAAGUCCUGGGCUUAACCUGGGGACUGCAUUUGAUACUGGGUUGCUUGAAUUCGGGAGAGGAUAGCGGAAUUCCCAGUGUAGAGGUGAAAUUCGUAGAUAUUGGGAAGAACACCGGUGGCGAAGGCGGCUAUCUGGACCGACAUUGACGCUGAGGCGCGAAAGCGUGGGGAGCAAAGCAGG